GGGUGAGCUCUCAAUUGAUAUCUUCAUUCACUUUUCGGGGGUUCUCCACCAUUUUUAUGAUUUUAUUAGACCUUUUUUUAGUCACGAUGUCACAAUGAUCAACUUUAUAGAAUAAUUAUUUCAAGGAGAGAUAUUGCAGAGGUAUGUUCGGUGCCAGGAGAAGUGGGAAAAACACUUCUUCAGAAUUUUAUUAUCUGGAGUGCAAUGAGAUUAACGCGGAGAUUCCGAGCGAACAUUAAAAAUAUGAAAGCAAAAGAAUUUCAUGUCGAUAAUGUUCACCUUCUCGAUACGAAUGAAUGGAUCAGUGAUACUGGUCGACGUGUAGACCGACUCAUCUAUCGAGCUAAAGGAUAACAGAAAAAGUAAUGGCGGUUUUAAAAAUAUUGUCAUCAUCCCUGGAUAAAUAUGAACUCGGUAUAAUACGGGGAUAUUAUUCAUGAUCCAGUCGGCUGUCACUCACAAUCAAGAAAUGUCCAUAUGCUCCGGUCCCUGCAGAUGGCAAACCAGUGGAUGCCAUCACAUAUAAUCCAAUUCAUUUGAAAACUAUAUUCUCCAGAUUUUUACUUCAUUAGAAUUUCUCGCACCUGUAUUUUUCACCACGGCAUGAAGAAUUGUUAAAAUUUUUGACAGAAUUUAAGUGCAUGGCAGUGUUACCAUGAAAAUGGACCUUUUAACUCAAUACAAUUAAAUUUCUAGACUGAAUUUCAAAUACAUCUCUGCAUGCAAUUCUAAUACAGUUGAAUUUUAUAUUGAUCAUGUUCCUCCAUUCAGUGAGGUUUAAUAAGUAAAUGGUAAAAUUAUUUUUGGCGUAAAAAAAU